AACGAACGCUGGCGGCAUGCCUAACACAUGCAGGUCGAACGAAGCCUUCGGGCUUAGUGGCGCACGGGUGCGUAACGCGUGGGAAUCUGCCCUUGGGUUCGGAAUAACAGUUAGAAAUGACUGCUAAUACCGGAUGAUGUCUUCGGACCAAAGAUUUAUCGCCCAAGGAUGAGCCCGCGUAGGAUUAGUUAGUUGGUGGGGUAAUGGCCCACCAAGCCGACGAUCCUUAGCUGGUCUGAGAGGAUGAUCAGCCACACUGGGACUGAGACACGGCCCAGACUCCUACGGGAGGCAGCAGUGGGGAAUAUUGGACAAUGGGCGAAGGCCUGAUCCAGCAAUGCCGCGUGAGUGAUGAAGGCCUUAGGGUUGUAAAGCUCUUUUACCAGGGAUGAUAAUGACAGUACCUGGAGAAUAAGCUCCGGCUAACUCCGUGCCAGCCGCCGCAGUAA
rnacentral:rRNA from 1 species